rnacentral:rRNA from 1 species
GUGUCAGCCGCCGCGGUAAUACGGAGGGUGCAAGCGUUAUCCGGAUUUAUUGGGUUUAAAGGGUCCGUAGGCGGAUCUGUAAGUCAGUGGUGAAAUCUCACAGCUUAACUGUGAAACUGCCAUUGAUACUGCAGGUCUUGAGUAAAGUAGAAGUGGCUGGAAUAAGUAGUGUAGCGGUGAAAUGCAUAGAUAUUACUUAGAACACCAAUUGCGAAGGCAGGUCACUAUGUUUUAACUGACGCUGAUGGACGAAAGCGUGGGGAGCGAACAGGAUUAGAUACCCUGGUAGUCCACGCCGUAAACGAUGCUAACUCGUUUUUGGGGCUUCGGCUUCGGAGACUAAGCGAAAGUGAUAAGUUAGCCACCUGGGGAGUACGUUCGCAAGAAUGAA